rnacentral:rRNA from 1 species
AUUGAACGCUGGCGGCAGGCUUAACACAUGCAAGUCGAACGAGUGGCGGACGGGUGAGUAAUGUCUGGGAAUCUGCCUUAUGGAGGGGGAUAACGACGGGAAACUGUCGCUAAUACCGCGUACCAUAGGAUGAGCCCAAGUGGGAUUAGGUGGUUGGUGGGGUAAUGGCUGACCAAGCCGACGAUCCCUAGCUGGUCUGAGAGGAUGACCAGCCACACCGGAACGGAGACACGGCCCGGACUCCUACGGGAGGCAGCAGUGGGGAAUAUUGCACAAUGGGCGCAAGCCUGAUGCAGCCAUGCCGCGUGUAUGAAGAAGGCCUUCGGGUUGUAAAGUACUUGCAGCGGGGAGGCGUUACCCGCAGAAGAAGCACCGGCUAACUCCGGGCCAGCAGCCGCGGUAAUAC